UUAGAAGAUGAAGUUCAAUGGUCUUGCUUUGUUCUUGGCUCUUGUAUUUGCAUUUGUUCUCAUUUCCUCUUCCCAAUCCCAACCUUCUAAACCAAAAGAAGGAGAAGGCAAAGUUGAAUGGGGUGGUUGUUGGAAAUGUUGGAAAAAACUAUGAUGGUCAUCUCCUUACAUACCAUAUGAUUCAAUUGAUUUAUAUACAUAGCUAUGUUAGCAUCAAUAAAUCAUGAAAUACUGGUUAUUAUUGUUACUGUAUGUAAUCCAUUAUAAAUUAUGUAAUCAUCAUAUCGAUCGAUAUCGUUCAGGGAAUUUGAAGCACGAUUUCAUAC